UACGUAGGGUGCGAGCGUUGUCCGGAAUUAUUGGGCGUAAAGGGCUCGUAGGCGGUCUGUCACGUCGGGAGUGAAAACUCAGGGCUUAACCCUGAGCCUGCUUCCGAUACGGGCUGACUAGAGGUAUGCAGGGGGAGAACGGAAUUCCUGGUGUAGCGGUGAAAUGCGCAGAUAUCAGGAGGAACACCGGUGGCGAAGGCGGGUCUCUGGGCAGUAACUGACGCUGAGGAGCGAAAGCGUGGGGAGCGAACAGG
rnacentral:rRNA from 1 species